rnacentral:rRNA from 1 species
UACAGAGGUCCCAAGCGUUGUUCGGAUUCAUUGGGCGUAAAGGGUGUGUAGGUGGCGCCGUAAGUCGGGUGUGAAAUCUCGGGGCUUAACUCCGAAACUGCAUUCGAUACUGCGGUGCUUGAGGCCGGGAGAGGCGAGUGGAAUUCCCAGUGUAGCGGUGAAAUGCGUAGAUAUUGGGAGGAACACCAGUGGCGAAGGCGGCUCGCUGGACCGGUUCUGACGCUGAGGCGCGAAAGCGUGGGGAGCAAACGGG